GAGAGAGACAUGCGCGCAUAUCAAUAAGCGGAGGAAAAGAAACUAACAAGGAUUCCCCUAGUAACGGCGAGUGAAGCGGGAAGAGCUCAAAUUUGAAAUCUUAAAGGGUUUCCCUUUACGAAUUGUAGUUUAAAGAAGUGUUUUCUGUUGAGGUUUUGGUAAAAGUUCUUUGGAAUAGGACAUCAUAGAGGGUGAGAAUCCCGUAUUUGACCUUUACUUUCAACUUUGUGAUACACUCUCAAAGAGUCGGAUUGUUUGGGAAUGCAGUCCAAAAUGGGUGGUAAAUUUCAUCUAAAGCUAAAUAUUGGCGAGAGACCGAUAGCGAACAAGUACCGUGAGGGAAAGAUGAAAAGAACUUUGAAAAGAGAGUUAAACAGUACGUGAAAUUGUCAAAAGGGAAGCGUUUGACACCAGUGUUGUUUUUCUGAAAAUCAAUUAAAGAACUGUUUAUGCUAAGCUGUUUAGACUUUAUCAGCUAACUGUUUAGUUUUGAGCUUUCUUUAAUGCACUUUUCAGUUAACAAGUCAACAUCGAUUUCUUUUGCUGUAAAAAAGCUUGAGGAAGGUGGCUUGAGAUUCGUCUUAAGUGUUUAUAGCCUCUUGCCUAUGCAGUCGGAGAGAUUGAGGUCUGCAGCGUAGAUCCUUCGGGGCUAAAUGCAUUUGUGCUAAGUUAUAGCAUUUUAUAGACAACUUGUUGACUAUGAUUUGUCUUGUAGCUUACUCGCUUAUGUUAUUUUACCUACGCUUAGGAUGUUGAGCGCAUGUCUCUCUCU
rnacentral:rRNA from 1 species